rnacentral:rRNA from 1 species
AAGACAUUGUGUCUUCGAGUCGUUGAUUUCACACUGCCGAGAAAAGCCUCUAGAUAGAAAAUAGGUGCCCGUACCGCAAACCGACACAGGUAGUCAAGAUGAGAAUUCUAAGGUGAGCGAGCGAACUCUCGUUAAGGAACUCGGCAAAAUGACCCCGUAACUUCGGGAGAAGGGGUGCUCUUUAGGGUUAACGCCCAGAAGAGCCGCAGUGAAUAGGCCCAAGCGACUGUUUAUCAAAAACACAGGUCUCUGCUAAACCGUAAGGUGAUGUAUAGGGGCUGACGCCUGCCCGGUGCUGGAAGGUUAAGAGGAGUGGUUAGCUUCUGCGAAGCUACGAAUCGAAGCCCCAGUAAACGGCGGCCGUAACUAUAACGGUCCUAAGGUAGCGAAAUUCCUUGUCGGGUAAGUUCCGACCCGCACGAAAGGCGUAACGAUUUGGGCACUGUCUCAACGAGAGACUCGGUGAAAUCAUAGUACCUGUGAAGAUGCAGGUUACCCGCGACAGGACGGAAAGACCCCGUGGAGCUUUACUGUAGCCUGAUAUUGAAAUUCGGCACAGCUUGUACAGGAUAGGUAGGAGCCUUUGAAACGUGAGCGCUAGCUUACGUGGAGGCGCUGGUGGGAUACUACCCUAGCUGUGUUGGCUUUCUAACCCGCACCACUUAUCGUGGUGGGAGACAGUGUCAGGCGGGCAGUUUGACUGGGGCGGUCGCCUCCUAAAAGGUAACGGAGGCGCUCAAAGGUUCCCUCAGAAUGGUUGGAAAUCAUUCAUAGAGUGUAAAGGCAUAAGGGAGCUUGACUGCGAGACCUACAAGUCGAGCAGGGUCGAAAGACGGACUUAGUGAUCCGGUGGUUCCGCAUGGAAGGGCCAUCGCUCAACGGAUAAAAGCUACCCCGG